rnacentral:lncRNA from 1 species
AUACAAACAAGCAAACUAAUAGUUUCGACAAACAUUAUUACAAUCUUAUAUACAAGAGAAAAAAAAUACAUUAUUGCAUUAAACGACAUCAAGAUUGACAAGACAUAAUUAAAAUAUAUAAUCAUAUGGUACAGACUCAAUACAAAGAUAACUACUCAUCAAUCAACUUAACUCUCAGAAGAACAUCAUGUAAUUUUCAGUAUAAAGUUUUAGCCACUAGGAACACCCCUAACCUGGGGACGUAAAUAUAUAUGUUAAGGCUGAAACAAAGAUUUUAUUUUGAGGAGGGAAGUCCUAAAUUUUAAGUCUACUAUAAUAUACAAUCAGUACAAUUGAGGGGUCAACAAUAAGGAUCAUAAUACAAAAACUAUAAACCAAGGGGGGUUGCAUAUAUAUAUUAAGGCUGAAACAAAGAUUUUAGUUUGAGGAGGGAAGUCCUAAAUUUAAGUCUACUAUAAUAUACAAUCACUACAAUUGAGGGGCCAACAAUAAGGAUCAUAGUACAAAAACUACAAACCAAGGGGGGCCUAGACGUAAACUAUACAUAGAAUUUGGUCAUGUUUUCAAUUUCAUCAUUAUAUAUUCUUAUUUUUUCAUUUUUGGAUGGGCCACCUCGUGCCUUUACUUUUUCCCGCCUCCGGGGUUAUAACCAUGUCUAUUCUUAUCACUUGGAGGGUACCCAGAUGUCAAAAUAUUCUCGGCAGACUCCGCCAGUACUCGGCUAAACUGCUGCGCAUUGUAGGCUGCGGCAUUUAAAGUCCUUCCGUUUGCAGCCAUGCAAGAGCUCACAAUCAUGAGAGCCAGAGCAAACCCUAGAAUCCUCGUUCUUCCACUCGUUUGAUCCAUCGUCACUGCUACAUAAUUUGAACAAAAUUCAAGUUUAAUGCAUGCAUGUGAGAAAAAAUUAACAGAUAUUUAGACCACAAGAAAAGAAUGAUACAAGUAGAAUUUUUAUUCUUUAUUAUUUAAUUAUAUUUUAAAAGGUAAAACGGGUGAGUAAAAUUUAAAUGAAUUUUUUAACUCUUUUUGAACUAGAAUAUAUAGCUAGGUAAAUGAAAUUACUUGAAACUACUCAAUGGAUACUUGAUGAUUUUUUAACUACUUACCCAAAUAGAGAUCAAGAGAAACGCGUUUGAUAAUGACGAUUUCGCAUGGAGGGAAGAAGAAUUAUAAAGUCUUUAUAUAGACGUGUU